rfam:Sordaria macrospora k-hell, WGS project CABT02000000 data, contig: 2.38
GCCUGCUUAGCAUAGUGGCUAAUGCGUUGCACUUGUAUCACACCCUUGGAUCCAUCCAAAGGGUAACGACGACAUGCAAAGAUCACAGGUUCGAUUCCUGUAGUAGGCA